GAGGGAGAGAUAGAGUCAGAACGAGAAAGAGAGAGAGUGGGAUAGUGAAAGGGAGAAAGAGAGAGAGGGGGUAGUGAGAAGGAGAAAUAGGGAGGGGGGAUAGUGAGAGGGUGAAGGAGAAAGUGUUAGGGAGAAAGAGAGAGAAGGAUAGUGAGAAGGAAAAAUAGAGAGAGGGGAGAGUGAGAAAGAGAAUAAGAAACUGUUAGGGAGAAAGAGAGAGGGGAUAGUGAGAGGGAGAAAUAGAGAGGGGGAUAGUGAGAAGGAGAAAGAGAGAGAGGGGGAUAGUGAGAAGGUGAAAGAGAGAGAGGGGGAUAGUGAGAAGGAGAAAUAGAGAGGGGGAUAGUGAGAAGGAAAAAGAGAGAGGGGGAUAGAGAGAAGGAGGAAUAGAGAGAGGGGGAUAGUGAGAGGGAGAAAGAGAAUAAGAAAGUGUUAGGGAGAAAGAGAGAGGGGGAUAGUGAGAGGGAUAAAUAGAGAGGGGGAUAGUGAGAAAGAGAAUAAGAAAGUGUUAGGGAGAAAGAGAGAGGGGGAUAGUGAGAGGGAUAAAUAGAGAGGGGGAUAGUUAGAAGGAAAAAGAGAGAGGGGGAUAGAGAGAAGGAGGAAUAGAGAGAGGGGGAUAGUGAGAAGGAGAAAAAGAGAAGGUGAAAGAGAGAGAGGGGGAUAGUGAGAAGGAGAAAGAGAGUGGGGGAUAGCGAGAGGGAGAAAAAGAACGAGAGGAGGAUAGGACAGGGAAAAAUAGAGAUGGGGAUAGUGAGAGGGAGAAAUAGAGAGAGGGGGAUAGUGGGAGGGAGAAGGAGAGUGGGAAAUUGUUAGGGUGAAAGAGAGAGAGGGGGAUAGUGGGAAGGAGAAGGAGAGUGGGAAAU